CACAAGUACCCAAGUACUCAAUCCCAGGACCCUAAGCACUGAGCCACAAGCACCCCAAGUACUCAGCCCCUAGCACCCAACAUACUGAGAACCGAGCACCCUAAGUACUGAGCCACAAGCAAGCACCAAGUACUAAGUCCCUAGCACCCUAAGUACUGUGUCCCUAGCACCCAAAGGACUGAGUGAGCAGGACCCUAAAUACUGAUCCACAAUCACCCCAAGUACUAAGUCACCAGCACUCUAAGUACUGUGUCCCCAGCAACCCCAGUAAUGCAUCCCCAACAUCCUAAAUCCUGAGUCCUCAGCACCAUGACCCCAGAACCGUAAGUACUCAGUCCCCAGCCCCCAAAGUACUGAGUCCCCAAUACCCUAAGUACUGUGUUCGCAUCACACCAAGUACUGAGAACCCAGCACCCUAAGUACUUAGCCACAAGCACCCCGAGUACUGUGUCCCUAGCACCCUAAGUACUGUCCCUUCAGCAUCCUAAGAACUAACUCACCAGCACCCUAAGUGUUGAGUCACAAGCACCAUAAGUAUUUAUCAACUAGCACUCUAAACACUGAAUCCUCAGCAACCCACAUACUGUGUCACCAGUACCAGAAGUGCUCAGUCCUAAGCAUUCUAAUUAAUGAAUCACCAGUACUCUGAGUAUUGAGUCAACAGCACCAAAAUACUGAGUUCCUAGCACUGUAGGUACUAAGUACUGAGCACCCUGAAUACUGAGUUCCCAGCAUCCUUAAUACUGAAGCACCAGCACUGUAAGUACUGAAUCAAUAGCACCCUAAGUACUGAGCCACCAGCACUCUAAGAACUAAAACCACAGUAAUCUAAGUACUUAAUGACCAGCACCAUAAUCACUGAAUCACCAUCCCCCCUGUACUGAGUUACCAGUUCUAUAUGUACUGAGUCCUGAGGACUCUACAUUCUGAAUCCCCAGCACACUGAGUACUGAGUCCUGAGCAUUCACUCUGGAUUAUGGUCUUGAUGUGGAAAAUCCUAUAUAAUUAACCUCCCCACCUACAAUC
rnacentral:lncRNA from 1 species